UUGUUGUUUAUCAGCACAAUACAAAAAGAUUCAUGUUAGACAUAUUCCAGUUAAGAUUCUAGAAUAUUAUGAUUUAUGUAAAUUUACCUCAAUAAUAUGAAUGUUCAGGUUAAGAUUGUGCAGUGAUAUUUAUUAUGUAAGUUUAGCUGAUUAAAGUUUAUGACUCUGCACUAAAAUAUUAUUUAAAUUGACAUCAUUAUUAUAAUAUUUAGGGUCAGACCCUACAGUAUUGAGAUUAAGAAAUCAAAUAUUCUAUAAAAUGUAAAUACACUGAACUCAAUUGGAUAUAUUUAAGUGAGACUCUACAAUAUUAUUUGACACAAAUCUAUCUAAAUCUAAAUUUCAAUCAUUUUUACUCCAAACAUUUAUUGGACUGAUUGAAAUAUUAAAAUCACUCCUUUCUAAUCCUCUGCUGUACGUUCAAACCUGAGGCCUUAAAUAGAAACACACAAGUAUCUGAUUGAAGGAACUUCUGCAGAGUCCUGGUUCCAGAACAUGAUGAUAGAAUUAUAGACAAACUUUAACAAAAGCUGCCUGAGAGUUUACAGGUUUUUAUGUUGGAUUUCUUCAGUAAUUUAAUGAGCGUUAUCAGCAAAAAUCAAGUAUUCAUUUGAUGAACUUCAUUUCCUAAAACAUCCAGAAUUGGAGCUCAUAUCUUUGGCAGCUGUAAAGUUUCUGCUCCUUCAAAGUUCACAACACAAUGAAUGAAUUCCUAAAAUACUCAAUGCUGGAGAGUGUUUGUGAUGCUGAAGCAGUGACCAGUUUUUCUGUUUCUUCUCUGGAGAUGCACAAUGAGGGACGUCUGCAGAGACUGAGAAAGAGUCUCACCACAUCCUGACAUGAGGAAAAAGACUUUAUUGAAGACUACAAUAAGAAAAACUAUCAGACAGCAGACGGCUGCAUUCAAGAGAAGAAGACCAUCAAACAUCCACGUCAGCUGAUGGAGGUCCAAGAGUCUCACUGAACAACCAACCUACAGAGUGAAGACCUCGAAUCUGAUUGGACGGCCUCCUAUUCAGCCACGUGUGAACAAAUGCCUCUAAGUUGAUUUGUUUUCUAGAAUAAAUCUAGUUUGAGUCCUAAUUUAUGCCUGAGUGUUUGCUUCUUUACACCGCUGUUAACAGUUUAGGCUGUUAGAUUGUU
ensembl:lncRNA